rnacentral:rRNA from 1 species
UCGAUUGAGUUUGAUCCUGGCUCAGAACGAACGCUGGCGGCGUGGAUAAGACAUGCAAGUCGAACGAGUUUAUUCGGGUAGCAAUACUUGGAUAAGCUAGUGGCGAACGGGUGCGUAACACGUGGGAAUCAACCCGGAAGAGCGGGAUAGCUCGCCGAAAGGCGAAUUAAUACCGCAUGUGAUGGCAACAUCAAAGGGGGCGCAAGCUCUCGCUUCCGGACGAGCCCGCGGCCUAUCAGCUUGUUGGUGAGGUGAAGGCUUACCAAGGCGACGACGGGUAGCCGGUCUGAGAGGACGGUCGGCCACACUGGGACUGAGACACGGCCCAGACACCUACGGGUGGCAGCAGUCGAGAAUCUUUCGCAAUGGGGGAAACCCUGACGGAGCGACGCCGCGUGGAGGAUGAAGGCCCUCGGGUUGUAAACUCCUGUCACCGUAGAAAAACGCAGUACGGUUAAUACCCGGCACUGUUGAUGGUAUACGGAGAGGAAGGGACGGCUAAAUCUGUGCCAGCAGCCGCGGUAAUACAGAUGUCCCGAGCGUUGUUCGGAUUCACUGGGCGUAAAGGGUGUGUAGGAGGCAUGGUAAGUCAGCUGUGAAAUCUCCGAGCUCAACUCGGAAAUGGCAGCCGAUACUGCCAAGCUAGAGGAUCGGAAGGGCAAGCGGAAUUCUCGGUGUAGCAGUGAAAUGCGUAGAUAUCGAGAGGAACACCGGUGGCGAAGGCGGCUUGCUGGACGAUACCUGACUCUGAAACACGAAAGCUAGGGGAGCGAACGGGAUUAGAUACCCUGGUAGCC